GUGCUGAUUGGCUCAGGUGGUAGAGUGCUCCCUCAUGUGCAUGAGGCCCUGGGUUCAAUCCCCAGCACCACA
rnacentral:tRNA from 1 species